GACCGCGUAGCUCAGUUGGCAGAGCGAGAGCGUUGGGCUAGUCUUCCAAAGGUCGUAGGUUUGAUUCCCACCGUGGCCA